GACCAGGCACCUGGAACAAUUCAGUGCUGCAAGCAGGGACUGGUUGGGGGAGCUAAACAGAGCUCCUGGUGGGCUGCUGAGGCCUGCAGGCUGAGGCCCUGAGUGAUUUACAGCUUUCUAGUGGGCUUUUCCUGCUGGGUUCACUUCUGAGCCGCUGCUGAAGAAUGCAGGAAGAGGACCUACCCAUUGUGAGGGAUUACCACACUUGAAAUGUACAGGUACAAAUGCAGGCACGUACAAUUCACUGGAAACAGAGGGAAGACACAGCUGUUCUAAACGCCCAGCGAGCACUCCAAAGAACUGGCUGGACCUUCUGCCAGGACCCCUUCGUGCGGCGCUGAGCUCCUGAGCAAUCCCACUAAAGUCAAUGAGACUGCUAAGAUGGUGCUGUGUGUAAAUGGGAUGAAUUACAACGCUCCGAGCGAUCUCGCAGGAUUUAUUAUUCCCAAAGCCCCGGGGCUCGGAUUCCGGCGCUGGAGGGACCCUUGGCUCGGACGCUGCUCCGAACGCUACACCGCGCGUCUGUCUGCUCGGUGCCAGAGCCUGGGGCCCGUUCGGGAAGCAGCAGCAGGUCCUGGAUAUUUGCUUCGCAUGCAUUAAACUGCUCGCUGCGUUACGAUUCUGCCCUGGUCUUGAUCCGGGCAUUUCUCCGCCAACGCUGUGAAUGAGUUUAAUUACAAGGACACCCACAUAUACACAGAGGACUUUUUUCCGUGUUGAUGAUUGAUCUAAACCAACCGGAUUCAAUGACCGCUACCAGGAUGGAACAUGUUCAGAGUAAUUAAACCCCAUUACCUUUUUUUCUGUCCUGAGCUACUUGGCAGGCAGCUUUGCUUUCAGUCAGCCCGGCAAGCUGAGCUUCUGGUGGAAAAUGAAAAGCUGCCGCUGAUCUAUUUUUAAUAAUGCAAACAGGCAAUUAACAGACUAGCGAGCUAAUGGGUUCAGCCCGCAUUGCAGUGAAAAGGGCAGAGAGGUCUGCAAGCUUUAUCUACGGGACUAUGUUUGUGUGGGUGUGGGUGUGAUUGUGACUCCUGAUUCAUUGAGGUCUCCAGAAAGUCAGCAGAAGGGAGGAAAGUGACAAGGGCUCUAACUCCUGGGAAGAAUGAAGUAGCUCGUAGCCUCCCUUUGUGUGUUUCAUCGAGAGAGGGCGCCCCAGCCCGCGGAUCUUUCCUUGGGGACAGCGAAAGGAGCACACAGUGGGAACGCAGGUGCGGGGAGAAGCUCGCUGCGCCCAUUCGCCUUUCCCACUCGCGUUGCCCCAUUCGAAAUUCCCCUUCGCAACAAGACCUGGGGCAGCUCGCGGCUUCUCCAGCGAGGCGGCGGCUUGCGCCCCGCAGCCCCGGGUGGCCGCUGGUUGCUGUAAUGCAUUCCAGGUGACGGCCUCACUGUCAGCAUGAUGGACGGUGAAGUCCCUUGCCCUGCCUCUCCCGACAGCUUCCCCGCAACCCCAUGUAGAUCAGAGACACGCACUCGUCGUCUCGGCCGCUUUUUGCAAUCGGCUUGAGGAAAACAGACCACGAAUAAAAAAAAAAUCUCUCUGAUUCUCUCGUGUCCGGCUCUAAAUGGCAACCCACUGGUUGCAGCGACAGGGCCCCCUUCAUUCGCUGCUUGUUUGUUUGUUUCUAUGCUGGGGGACCUUUUUAACAACCCUGGUCCUUUACGUGCAGGCGCAUAAAUCUACCCCGCCAGGCAGGGUAUAUAAGUCUUUCCGAGCUGGACAGACCAGGGUUUUCUCCUGGGGGCAAUCCAUUGGUAGCGGCGGUUUCUAACCUAUUAGUGUGGACAGGAGUGGUAAACGGCUAUUUCUAAUUGAUGUCCUUAUUGUAAAGCACAGCUGGCUGUGUUAGAGCAAUGCUUAC